rnacentral:rRNA from 1 species
GUGGGGAAUAUUGCGCAAUGGGGGGAACCCUGACGCAGCGACGCCGCGUGAAGGAAGAAGGUCUUCGGAUUGUAAACUUCUUUGACUGGGGACGAAAGAAAUGACGGUACCCAGAGAACAAGCCACGGCUAACUACGUGCCAGCAGCCGCGGUAAUACGUAGGUGGCAAGCGUUGUCCGGAAUUACUGGGUGUAAAGGGCGUGUAGGCGGGGAUGCAAGUCAGGUGUGAAAUACCACGGCUCAACUGUGGCAUUGCAUCUGAAACUGUAUUUCUUGAGUACUGGAGAGGGAAGUGGAAUUCCUAGUGUAGCGGUGAAAUGCGUAGAGAUUAGGAGGAACACCAGUGGCGAAGGCGGCUUCCUGGCCAGAGACUGACGCUGAGGCGCGAAAGCGUGGGGAGCAAACAGGAUUAGAAACCCCGGUAGUCC